ensembl:lncRNA
GAUCAGCUCACCUACCCUACACGUUUUGUAGUUUUGUUUUUUUAAAGUAGACUUUUCUCUUUCAGAGUAGUUUAAUUUCACAGAAAAAUUGAGCAGAAAUUUAUACAGCGUUUCCAUAUACCCCGUGGCCCCAUGCAGGCACAGCCUCUCCCACUGUCAGCAUCCUGCCGCAGAGUGGUACAUGUGCUGAACUGGGCAUGUGAGAUCUUAAACCUUCCUGACCAGGGAUCAAACCCACACCCCCUGCAUUGGAAGGCAGAGACUUAACCACUGGACCACUAGGGAAGUCCCUAAAGUACUUUUAAAUAAAGUGCCAUUGAUUGAAGACAGAUGCAAGGAGAGAAAGAGGAGAGAGACAGGCUGCAGGUUCUCCCUUAAGGGCUGGAAGCAGUCCUGUCCUACUCCACAGCCUCCCAGAAGACACUGAGGGUGGCCAGACUGCUGGAGACGCCAGAGAGCAGCACAUGUGCUAUCUGGGAGCUCAUCCUCCCAGGUCAGCGAGACCACAGAUCCCUGGGGCUACAGUGUUCCUGGGAGGACUCCCAGCUGUGGGCUUUGAAG